CGCUGGCGGCAUGCCUAACACAUGCAAGUCGAACGGUAACAGUCCUUCGGGAGCUGACGAGUGGCGCACGGGUGAGUAACGCGUGGAUAUCUGCCUAUGAGUGGGGGACAACUUUCGGAAACGAAAGCUAAUACCGCAUAAUCUCUACGGAGCAAAGCAGGGGACCUUUCGGGGCCUUGUGCUUAUAGAUGAGUCCGCGUCAGAUUAGCUAGUUGGUAGGGUAAAAGCCUACCAAGGCGAUGAUCUGUAGCUGGUUUGAGAGGAUGAUCAGUCACACUGGAACUGAGACACGGUCCAGACUCCUACGGGAGGCAGCAGUGGGGAAUUUUGCACAAUGGGCGCAAGCCUGAUGCAGCGAUGCCGCGUGUGGGAAGAAGGCCUUUGGGUUGUAAACCACUUUCAAUUGGGAAGAAGGGAUGAGUAUUAAUAAUACUCUGACUUGACGGUACCUUUAGAAGAAGCACCGGCUAAUUUCGUGCCAGCAGCCGCGGUAAUACGAAAGGUGCAAGCGUUGUUCGGAUUUACUGGGCGUAAAGAGAUCGUAGGUGGUUUGUUAAGUUGGAUGUGAAAUCCCGGGGCUCAACCUCGGAACUGCAUCCAAAACUGGCGGACUUGAGUUCGGGAGGGGUAAGCGGAAUUCCGUGUGUAGCAGUGAAAUGCGUAGAUAUACGGAGGAACACCUGAGGCGAARGCGGCUUACUGGACCGAUACUGACACUGAGGAUCGAAAGCGUGGGUAGCAAACAGGAUUAGAUACCCUGGUAGUCCACGCCCUAAACGAUGUCAACUAGCCGUUGCGGGUAUCGACCCCUGCAGUGGCGCAGCUAACGCGAUAAGUUGACCGCCUGGGGAGUACGGUC
rnacentral:rRNA from 1 species